AGUUAAAAUAUAAAUCUCCCAGAACCUGAGCCCGAUCUCAUCAGAACUUCGAGAGCUAAGCAGGGGUUGAGUCUGGUUAGUUACUGGAAUGGGAGACUGCUUGAGAAUGCCUGGUGUUGUAGUCU
rnacentral:rRNA from 1 species